CACGUAGGGCGCAAGCGUUGUCCGGAAUUAUUGGGCGUAAAGAGCUCGUAGGCGGACUGUCACGUCUGCUGUGAAAAGCUGGGGCUUAACCCUGGCCUUACAGUGGAUACGGGCAGACUAGAGGUAGGUAGGGGAGAAUGGAAUUCCCGGUGUAGCGGUGAAAUGCGCAGAUAUCAGGAAGAACACCCGUGGCUAAGGCGGCUCUCUAGUACGGUACUGACGCUGAGACGCGAAAGCGUGGGGAGCGAACAGG
rnacentral:rRNA from 1 species